ensembl:lincRNA Gm38353 predicted gene, 38353
GCUUCUAGACUGAACAAGGCACGAACUAUGAGUAGAUCAGGAUAUCAUUAGGAGUAGAAGAAAGAGGCUACCACAUAGUAGAACUUCUAUAGACUUGGUGAAAGUGUGAGGCAGUUUUCAUCAGUGAUGGCAGAAAGAAAUGCAAAGACUGGGUGCCCAAAGCUGAAAGACUUUCAAAAAUUUAAAAGAAAUUUUGGAUUUUUAAAGAGACACGAUUUUAUUAAGGAGACAACUUUUAAUGUGUUUGAAUUGAAAUAACUUGGGAGCAAGGUCACAUGGUGCCUAAUUGGCAACCAGUCUUGAGGAACCAAUAAUCACAUUAGAAUGCAAACACCAUCAGGUCAAGCCACUACAUUUUAUACACAGUUCUGUAUUCACUACGGGUCUACAGAAUGUCAUAGGACUCUCCUCAAGCUGUCUGAUGACCAUGUUCCCAACUGAAAUAGCCUCAAGGAAGAAGAUCUGCCCCAAACCCUCCUUAUAUGGUUACCGGCAAGGCUAGAUCCCUACUACAGAGCCCUGACUAUAGCAUGACCAUGCCAACCAGAAGACUGUUUCUAUGGAGGAAUCAAUCAAAAACCUGAUUUAACAAAGCAUGUCUGAGACUGGUGGAGUAG